UCAACCCCUCCAUUUUGACUGCUAAACUAUUGCGUGAUCUAGCUGAGAUACAAUAAAUCAAUCGCAUCAGAAUGCAGACCCACCGACCUUUGUUUUUCCAAGCAAAAGAUCUUUUGCCUCGUUUACUUUAGAAGCAAGGUAAUGACUACCACCUGCAUCAGGAUGAUUUGCAACCAUAACUCUCCGAUGUGCUUCCUUAACCUUGUCCACCGAAGUACUUUCUCUGACUCCAAGUAUUAGAGCUGCUUCCCUUUUCGUCAUGACAGGAUGAAAGCCACCAUCAUAAAAUCGGCGAAGCCUAGCUGUUGGUGGUCUUGCCUUGAACGCUUGCCAAGCCUGGAUGCUGUAUCUGCCAGCAUAAGCAGCAGCAGCUACUGCAACACCUGCUAUAAAUGGUGCCACCAUAUCUGCGAUGAUCAAAAAGCUUGAAGAAGAAGAAAUGACGACUCGCGGCUUCUGGGGUUUUGAAUUUUAUGACUAUAUAUAUAUAUGUAUGUACUGCGAAAGCU
rnacentral:misc_RNA from 1 species